rnacentral:rRNA from 1 species
UACGAAGGGUGCAAGCGUUAAUCGGAAUUACUGGGCGUAAAGGGUGCGUAGGCGGUUGUUUAAGUCUGUCGUGAAAUCCCCGGGCUCAACCUGGGAAUGGCGAUGGAUACUGGACAGCUAGAGUGUGUCAGAGGAUGGUAGAAUUCCACGUGUAGCAGUGAAAUGCGUAGAGAUGUGGAGGAAUACCGAUGGCGAAGGCAGCCCCCUGGGCUAACACUGACGCUCAUGCACGAAAGCGUGGGGAGCAAACAGG